AUGAUUCUUUGGUGUGAUUGGGUGAAGUUGAAGGUGAAGUACUGUAUUACUGAUUUCAGAUCUUCAUCUUUAAUUUCAUGUGAGCUACAUCUAACUGAACCAUUUCACCUGUUCAUGUACUGCAGAAAGGCGUUCCCCUCAGAGACAUCAGAUUAUUGGCGGAGUGGGAAAAUUCUACUGCCAAAUUUCUUGCGACCAAGGCAUCUGUUUGAUGGUGCUGGCUUCAAUGCAAACUUUCAGGACAUGCAGAUGUCCCAAAUUUUUUGUAGGAUGUGGCUAGCCUUUAUCCAUAGAGUUGUUUUCAUUUUAGUCAACAAUCAUGUACUAUUAUGCUGUAGGUAUCUGAUAUAG
rnacentral:rRNA from 1 species